GGAAAAUUUGGGGAUUUUGGAAAGAAAGGAUUUUUUUUUGGAGCUUGCAGGUUGGACUCUCCUCCGAUCUUGUCAGGAUUGCUAAAUCAGGAUUCUUUAGGUUCACCAGCAAUGCAGACAUCAUUCACUAGCACUAGCAGGCACAACAAGUUCAUUCACCAGCAUCUAGUUUACACCAGCAACGAAGCAUACCGACAUCUAGGCCGACAUGAGACAAGUCUUGUUUAUUGUAUUGUAAUGUAAUUAAUUAUUUGUAAGCUGACAUGAUGUAUUGUAAAGACUCAUAUAUGUAUGAGAUCUUAUAGGUCAUUUUUGAUAUAGCAUAGAGAGGCAAUUAUAUGGUAUUAUGUAGAAGAUAGCGAAAGGAUUUUGUAAUAAGGCGGAUAGGUUAUGUGAGUGAAUUUCAUUCACCGGCAAGGUUUCUGGUUAUGGUUUCUGACGGAGCUUAAACCAGUACUGAAUCAAGCAUUGCGAUGCUUUUUUGAGCAGUACAUUGUCUUGGAUUUAAUUAUCCAUUUUGUAGUCAGUGAGACUCUUUCAUUGAGCAAUGAGCUCUAGGCUGUUGGCCUUCCUGCAUGUGGAGGCCCCUAUUGUAAGUAAUAUUUAUUCAUAUUGGCCAGUGAGUAAAUAUUGUGGGUCCCAAAUCCCAUCGAGGUUUUUCCCUA